rnacentral:rRNA from 1 species
CAGCAGCCGCGGUAAUGCGUAGGUGGCAAGCGUUGUCCGGAAUUAUUGGGCGUAAAGGGCUCGCAGGCGGUUUCUUAAGUCUGAUGUGAAAGCCACCGGCUCAACCGGGGAGGGUCAUUGGAAACUGGGAAACUUGAGUGCAGAAGAGGAGAGUGGAAUUCCACGUGUAGCGGUGAAAUGCGUAGAGAUGUGGAGGAACACCAGUGGCGAAGGCGACUCUCUGGUCUGUAACUGACGCUGAGGAGCGAAAGCGUGGGGAGCGAACAGGAUUAGAUACCCGGGUAGUCCCUGUCUCUUAUAC